rnacentral:tRNA from 1 species
GGGGUUGUGGCUCACUGGUAGAGCACUUGCCUGGCAUGUGUGAGGCACUGGGUUCGAUCCUCAGCACCA